rnacentral:rRNA from 1 species
AGUCGACGGCAGCGCGGGGCACCUGGCGGCGAGUGGCGAACGGGUGAGUAAUACAUCGGAACGUACCCAGAAGUGGGGGAUAACGUAGCGAAAGUUACGCUAAUACCGCAUACGUUCUACGGAAGAAAGUGGGGGACCUUCGGGCCUCAUGCUUUUGGAGCGGCCGAUGUCUGAUUAGCUAGUUGGUGAGGUAAAGGCUCACCAAGGCGACGAUCAGUAGCUGGUCUGAGAGGACGACCAGCCACACUGGGACUGAGACACGGCCCAGACUCCUACGGGAGGCAGCAGUGGGGAAUUUUGGACAAUGGGCGCAAGCCUGAUCCAGCAAUGCCGCGUGAGUGAAGAAGGCCUUCGGGUUGUAAAGCUCUUUUGUCGGGGAAGAAACGGCCGGGGUUAAUACCUUCGGCUAAUGACGGUACCUGAAGAAUAAGCACCGGCUAACUACGUGCCAGCAGCCGCGGUAAUACGUAGGGUGCAAGCGUUAAUCGGAAUUACUGGGCGUAAAGCGUGCGCAGGCGGUUUUGUAGGUCUGACGUGAAAUCCCCGGGCUCAACCUGGGAAUUGCGUUGGAGACUGCAAGGCUGGAGUCUGGCAGAGGGGGGUAGAAUUCCACGUGUAGCAGUGAAAUG